CGGCAUGCCUUACACAUGCAAGUCGAACGGCAGCACGGGAGCAAUCCUGGUGGCGAGUGGCGAACGGGUGAGUAAUAUAUCGGAACGUGCCCAGUCGUGGGGGAUAACGUAGCGAAAGCUACGCUAAUACCGCAUACGAUCUAUGGAUGAAANCGGGGGAUCGCAAGACCUCGCGCGAUUGGAGCGGCCGAUAUCAGAUUAGGUAGUUGGUGAGGUAAAGGCUCACCAAGCCAACGAUCUGUAGCUGGUCUGAGAGGACGACCAGCCACACUGGAACUGAGACACGGUCCAGACUCCUACGGGAGGCAGCAGUGGGGAAUUUUGGACAAUGGACGCAAGUCUGAUCCAGCCAUUCCGCGUGCAGGAUGAAGGCCCUCGGGUUGUAAACUGCUUUUGUACGGAACGAAAAGGUUUCUAUUAAUACUAGGAGCUCAUGACGGUACCGUAAGAAUAAGCACCGGCUAACUACGUG
rnacentral:rRNA from 1 species